rnacentral:rRNA from 1 species
UACGUAGGGCGCAAGCGUUGUCCGGAAUUAUUGGGCGUAAAGAGCUCGUAGGCGGUUUGUCGCGUCUGCUGUGAAAGUCCGAGGCUCAACCUCGGAUCUGCAGUGGGUACGGGCAGACUAGAGUGUGGUAGGGGAGACUGGAAUUCCUGGUGUAGCGGUGGAAUGCGCAGAUAUCAGGAGGAACACCAAUGGCGAAGGCAGGUCUCUGGGGCCACAACUGACGCUGAGGAGCGAAAGCAUGGGGAGCGAACAGG